rnacentral:lncRNA from 10 species
UCCCGGUCAGGAAGCUUUAUGUUCUGGAUCAUCCAGGAGAGGGACAGAGGUGGUCGGUUGGUGCGACUCAUAAACAACCUCUUCAGCACAACCUGGUUGAAUGUGGAGUUGUUCCGUCUGACCAGAAACCUGUACAGUUUGACCAACAGCCUCAGACAGUUGACCAUUAAACAACACAGGUUUGAACUGAGUGGAUCCACUUAUAUGCAUACGUGCAUUUUCUCCUGACUCGGCCACCCCUGAGACAGCAAGACCAAUCACUCCUCUUUGACUUCCUCCUCAUUUUACUCAAUGUGAAGACCACCAGGAUGAAGACCUUUAUGAUGAUCCACUUCCACUUAAUGAAUAAAAGGGUACACUUGCCAUCAGUUUUGCCACAAGAAUACAUUGAACAAAGGAGACAGGGUCAUUUAUAACUUGAUGCGUCCACCCUACUGCUGUGUCUGGUUUCCAUUGGCUGGAACGGGACCUCACAUUCUGUAUUUGUCCUGAUUGACUAGCAACUUAGAACUUUUCAAAAGAGGCAAAGGCAGAGGAGAACAAAGGAAGGAGGAAGUAACUUGUGGAAUGCC